rfam:Helianthus annuus linkage group 14, whole genome shotgun sequence.
UCACUUACCUGGAUGGGGUCAAUGGGCGAUCAUGAAUGUCCAUGGCCUAGGUUGGUGACCUCCAUUGCACAUAGGAGGGGUGCUACCCUAAGGUCGGCCCAAGCGGUCGAGCCUACAUCAUAAUUUGUGGCAGUGGGGGCUUGCGUUCGCGCAGCCCCUGC